GGCAAGAUGGCCGAGUGGUUAAGGCGGUAGACUCAAGCGAAUCAAAGCUUCACCAAUCAAGUUGGUGUUUUCUACUCUCGCAAGAGGCGUGGGUUCGAGUCCCACUCUUGUCA
rnacentral:tRNA from 1 species